CGGUUGCGGUGAACACGGCAGAGAACAAGUUGAGGGCGUCGCGCCAGUGAUCACGCCGAGUCGCACGCGUUUAGAUCGUCGGUCYCGCGUGGAUGUUUUUAAGCAAUAAUUACGUGAUUUUCGAAAUCAAAAACAGUUGAAUAGAUAACACGUAUACGUGUAUGAAUAUAACAAGCAUCAAUAUUUAGUAGUGUUCUUUWUGUGUGUUUUUUUUUACAAAAUUAAAAAAUUUGUUUAAUUGUUAUUUUCGAUUACGAAAUUAUGGAGGAAAUAUUGUUUAAAUUUAACGUCAGUGAUUAGGUAUAUACAUAACGGAUAUCCUGACACCUGGAUUUCCAUAUUGGAUCAAAGUGGUCAAAUGACGUUAACUUCAUGAAAGGGACAUCCGGACGACGACACCAAGCCCAAUGAGAUCACAAUGUUGCUGACAUUUCUACUGGCAGCCGCGCUGUGGAACUGCAAUUGCUGGUGGAAUGCCGCCAAUAUUUACACUUUCGCCGUGCAACCCGGAG